CCUACGGGAGGCUGCAGUGAGGAAUAUUGGUCAAUGGCCGAGAGGCUGAACCAGCCAAGUCGCGUGAGGGAAGACGGCCCUACGGGUUGUAAACCUCUUUUGUCGGGGAGCAAAGCGAGUCACGUGUGACUUAUUGAGAGUACCCAAAGAAAAAGCAUCGGCUAACUCCGUGCCAGCAGCCGCGGUAAUACGGAGGAUGCGAGCGUUAUCCGGAUUUAUUGGGUUUAAAGGGUGCGCAGGCGGAGGUGCAAGUCAGCGGUUAAAUUGCGGGGCUCAACCCCGUACCGCCGUGGAUACUGGAAACCUUGAGUGCGAGAGAGGUAUGCGGAAUGCGAGGUGUAGCGGUGAAAUGCGUAGAUA
rnacentral:rRNA from 1 species